AACUCGUUGAUAUCGGUAAAGUAUUUGUUUAUUACACAGGCUCGGCCUUACAACAACAAACAAAGUUUGACCUCAAAUCAGGUAGGACUACCCGCUGAACUUAAGCAUAUCAAUAAGCGGAGGAAAAGAAACCAACAGGGAUUGCCUUAGUAACGGCGAGUGAAGCGGCAAAAGCUCAAAUUUGAAAUCUAGCACUUUCAGUGUUCGAGUUGUAAUUUGAAGAAGGUAACUUUCGAGUUGGCUCUUGUCUAUGUUCCUUGGAACAGGACGUCACAGAGGGUGAGAAUCCCGUGCGAUGAGAUGCCCAAUUCUUAGUAAAGUGCUUUCGAAGAGUCGAGUUGUUUGGGAAUGCAGCUCUAAGUGGGUGGUAAAUUCCAUCUAAAGCUAAAUAUUGGCGAGAGACCGAUAGCGAACAAGUACAGUGAUGGAAAGAUGAAAAGAACUUUGAAAAGAGAGUGAAAAAGUACGUGAAAUUGUUGAAAGGGAAGGGCUUGAGAUCAGACUUGGUAUUUUGUGUGCCUUUCCUUUUUGGUUGGGUUUCUGCAGCUUACUGGGCCAGCAUCGGUUUGGGUGGUAGGAUAAUGACAUUGGAAUGUAGCUUCGCUUCGGUGAAGUGUUAUAGACUUUGUUGAUACUAUCUAUCUAGACCGAGGACUGCGUCUUUGACUAGGAUGCUGGCGUAAUGAUCUUAAGCCGCCCGUCUUGAAACACGGACCAAGGAGUCUAACGUCUAUGCGAGUGUUUGGGUGUAAAA
rnacentral:rRNA from 1 species